UACGGGGGGGGCAAGCGUUGUUCGGAAUUACUGGGCGUAAAGGGCUCGUAGGCGGCCAACUAAGUCGGAUGUGAAAUCCCCAGGCUCAACCUGGGAACGGCAUCCGAUACUGGAUGGCUCGAGUGUGGGAGAGGAAUGCGGAAUUCCAGGUGUAGCGGUGAAAUGCGUAGAUAUCUGGAGGAACACCGGUGGCGAAGGCGGCAUUCUGGACCAUAACUGACACUGAGAGACGAAAGCCAGGGGAGCAAACGGG
rnacentral:rRNA from 1 species